rnacentral:rRNA from 1 species
GACGAACGCUGGCGGCGUGCUUAACACAUGCAAGUCGAGCGGUAAGGCCCUUUCGGGGGUACGACGAGCGGCGAACGGGUGAGUAACACGUGGGUGACCUGCCCUCAGCUCUGGGAUAAGCCUGGGAAACUGGGUCGUAAUACCGGAUAUGACUCCAUGACGCAUGUUGUGGGGUGGAAGGCCUUGUGCGGCUGAGGAUGGGCCCGCGGCCUAUCAGCUUGUUGGUGGGGUGAGGCCUACCAAGGCGACGACGGGUAGCCGGCCUGAGAGGGCGACCGGCCACACUGGGACUGAGACACGGGCCCAGACUCCUACGGGAGGCAGCAGUGGGGAAUCUUGCGCAAUGGGCGAAAGCCUGACGCAGCGACGCCGCGUGGAGGAUGAAGGCCUCGGUCGUAACU